ACAAGGGGAGUACAAGCACGAGGUACUCAAUAACAAGGGGAGUACCGGCAUCUGGUACUUAAAAACAAGGGGAGUACAAGCACGAGGUACUCAAUAACAAGGGGAGUACCUGCACCUGGUACUUAAAAACAAGGGGAGUACAAGCACGAGGUACUCAAUAACAAGGGGAGUACCGGCAUCUGGUACUUAAAAACAAGGGGAGUCCAAG